GAAGUAGUAGCUCGAUCCGAAUCUGCGGGAGGCUCCGUAUAUCUGUUAUAACCUUCCGCCCGGAUUCGACCACGGAUAUCCUAGGUAAUUCUUAGGUUAAUACGUGUACCGACGAGCUGGCAAAGGGGGGGCUGGCUAACCCCAGCCCCCCCGUUAGGUUCAGCUCGGGGCUUGCACGCCCUACCAAGGCUCCCCUUAACAGGGGUGAAUGGCGGGAAGGCGGGCAAGCGUGCCAGACCGUCCCUGAGGCGGUGUGGGCGAUGGACACCAGACCUAUCAACCUUGGUGCCGGGGCGAGCCCAGCACCGGUGAUAACGGGUACAGAGGAUCAGGGUUCGGUCCUGGAGAGGUAGCCUUAGAGAUCGCUACUACUUCUAAGGAAGGCAGCAGGCGCGCAACGUUCCCCAUGGGUAUGCCCCCCUGAGGACGUGACGGGGCAUAGCAACGCGGUACCGUAAUCGGUUCCGCGAUUGCAAUGGGGCGGAUUUAGAUCCCCCGCCGAGUAACGAUUGGAGGACAAGUCUGGUGCCAGCACCCGCGGUAAUUCCAGCUCCAAUGGCAUCUCGUUAAAUUGCUGCAGUUAAAACGCUCGUAGUCAGGGUUGGGUGCAGCCUGGGGCCCAAGUACCCUGGGGAUAUAAUCCGUUGAGCUGGCCCAGUGCCUGGGAUGGAAGCAUCUUAUCCCCGCCUGGGUUUCAGAACCGGCACCCCCAGGGGAACAGCCUGCCAGGCCCACCUACUAUGCCCUGAAGAAGGGGGAAUUGGGCUUCACUGCUCGUCCCCUCGACCAGGGCAGCAUACCUUGAAUAAAUUCGAGCGCUCAAUGCAGGUCUUAAGGGCCAAACAUGGAGAUCCCAGCAAGGAAUAUUGGAACAGGACUCGUCCUGGUCCCCUGGUACUGGGGCGAUUAAUGAUUGAUAGGGGGGAUCGGGGUGGGCCACAUGGCGGGGGUAGGGGUGAAAUCCGAUAAUCCUCGCCAGGUGAACCAAGGCGAAAGCAGCCCGCCAGUACUCUUUCUUUGAUCAAGAACGAAAGUCUGGGGAUCGAAGACGAUCAGAUACCGUCGUAGUCCAGACUAUAAACCGUGCCGACCUGGGGUAGGCCGGAGUCCAUCUCGACUCGGCCCGGACCAUGGAGGGGAAACCAUAGUCCGGCUCCGGGGGGAGUAUGGUCGCAAGACUGAAACUUAAAGGAAUUGACGGA
rnacentral:rRNA from 1 species